UUUCCGUAGGUGAACCUGCGGAAGGAUCAUUAUUGGAUUUUGAAACUUCAGGCUGCUGCUGGCUCUCCUCGGAGGGCAUGUGCGCGCUUGUUGUCCAUUAUUUCUUCCCACUGUGCACAAAUUGUAGGCCUUUCAGUAGGCCUAUGUUGUUUUUCACAAUCUCUGAAUGUAAUAGAAUGGUUUUGAAUCUUGGGAAAUACAAUACAACUUUCAGCAACGGAUCUCUUGGCUCUC
rnacentral:misc_RNA from 1 species